GCAUUGAUGGUUCAAGGGUAGAAUUCUAGCCUUCCAUGCAAGAGAAUCAGGCUUGAUUCCCGGCCAGUGCC
rnacentral:tRNA from 1 species